UACGAACCGUACGAACGUUAUUCGGAAUUACUGGGCUUAAAGGGUUUGUAGGCGGCCAUGUAAGUCAGGUGUGAAAUCCCUCGGCUCAACCGAGGAACGGCGCUUGAUACUGCAUGGCUUGAGGGAGACAGGGGUAAGCGGAACUGAUGGUGGAGCGGUGAAAUGCGUUGAUAUCAUCAGGAACACCGGUGGCGAAAGCGGCUUACUGGGUCUCUUCUGACGCUGAGGAACGAAAGCUAGGGUAGCGAACGGG
rnacentral:rRNA from 1 species